rnacentral:rRNA from 1 species
GACGAACGCUGGCGGCGUGCUUAACACAUGCAAGUCGAACGGAAAGGCCCUGCUUUUGUGGGGUGCUCGAGUGGCGAACGGGUGAGUAACACGUGAGUAACCUGCCCUUGACUUUGGGAUAACUUCAGGAAACUGGGGCUAAUACCGGAUAGGAGCUCCAGCUGCAUGGUGGGGGUUGGAAAGUUUCGGCGGUUGGGGAUGGACUCGCGGCUUAUCAGCUUGUUGGUGGGGUAGUGGCUUACCAAGGCUUUGACGGGUAGCCGGCCUGAGAGGGUGACCGGCCACAUUGGGACUGAGAUACGGCCCUGACUCCUACGGGAGGCAGCAGUGGGGAAUAUUGCACAAUGGGCGGAAGCCUGAUGCAGCAACGCCGCGUGCGGGAUGACGGCCUUCGGGUUGUAAACCGCUUUCGCCUGUGACGAAGCGUGAGUGACGGUAAUGGGUAAAGAAGCACCGGCUAACUACGUG